AACGCACAUUGCGCCCUCUGGUAUUCCGGGGGGCAUGCCUGUCCGAGCGUCGUUACAACCCUCAAGCAUUGCUUGGUAUUGGGUACCGCCCUGAACGGGGCGCACCUGAAAUAUAGUGGCGGUCCAGCGAGACAUCGAGCGUAGUAAGAUUUCAUAUCCCGCUCCAGAUGCCUCUCGCGGCGACUUAGCCAACCAACGACGUAUUUAUUACCACGAUUGACCUCGGAUCAGGUAGGGAUACCCGCUGAACUUAA
rnacentral:misc_RNA from 2 species